AGAGUUUGAUCAUGGCUCAGGACGAACGCUGGCGGCGUGCUUAACACAUGCAAGUCGAACGGAAAGGCCCUUCGGGGUACUCGAGUGGCGAACGGGUGAGUAACACGUGGGUGAUCUGCCCUGCACUUUGGGAUAAGCCUGGGAAACUGGGUCUAAUACCGAAUAUGACCAUGCGCCUCCUGGUGUGUGGUGGAAAGCUUUUGCGGUGUAGGAUGGGCCCGCGGCCUAUCAGCUUGUUGGUGGGGUAAUGGCCUACCAAGGCGACGACGGGUAGCCGGCCUGAGAGGGUGACCGGCCACACUGGGACUGAGAUACGGCCCAGACUCCUACGGGAGGCAGCAGUGGGGAAUAUUGCACAAUGGGCGCAAGCCUGAUGCAGCGACGCCGCGUGAGGGAUGACGGCCUUCGGGUUGUAAACCUCUUUCAGCACAGACGAAGCGCAAGUGACGGUAUGUGCAGAAGAAGGACCGGCCAACUACGUGCCAGCAGCCGCGGUAAUACGUAGGGUCCGAGCGUUGUCCGGAAUUACUGGGCGUAAAGAGCUCGUAGGUGGUUUGUCGCGUUGUUCGUGAAAACUCACAGCUUAACUGUGGGCGUGCGGGCGAUACGGGCAGACUUGAGUACUGCAGGGGAGACUGGAAUUCCUGGUGUAGCGGUGGAAUGCGCAGAUAUCAGGAGGAACACCGGUGGCGAAGGCGGGUCUCUGGGCAGUAACUGACGCUGAGGAGCGAAAGCGUGGGGAGCGAACAGGAUUAGAUACCCCGGUAGUCCAA
rnacentral:rRNA from 1 species